GACGAACGCUGGCGGCGUGCUUAACACAUGCAAGUCGAGCGGUAAGGCCCUUUCGGGGGUACACGAGCGGCGAACGGGUGAGUAACACGUGGGUGACCUGCCCUCAGCUCUGGGAUAAGCCUGGGAAACCGGGUCUAAUACUGGAUAUGACUCCAUGACGCAUGUUGUGGGGUGGAAAGCCUUGUGCGGCUGAGGAUGGGCCCGCGGCCUAUCAGCUUGUUGGUGGGGUGANGGCCUACCAAGGCGACGACGGGUAGCCGGCCUGAGAGGGCGACCGGCCACACUGGGACUGAGACACGGCCCAGACUCCUACGGGAGGCAGCAGUGGGGAAUCUUGCGCAAUGGGCGAAAGCCUGACGCAGCGACGCCGCGUGAGGGAUGACGC
rnacentral:rRNA from 1 species